rnacentral:rRNA from 1 species
GACGAACGCUGGCGGCGUGCUUAACACAUGCAAGUCGAACGGAAAGGCCCUGCUUUUGUGGGGUGCUCGAGUGGCGAACGGGUGAGUAACACGUGAGUAACCUGCCCUUGACUUUGGGAUAACUUCAGGAAACUGGGGCUACUACCGGAUAGGAGCUCCUGCUGCAUGGUGGGGGUUGGACAGUUUCGGCGGUUGGGGAUGGACUCGCGGCUUAUCAGCUUGUUGGUGGGGUAGUGGCUUACCCAGGCUUUGACGGGUAGCCGGCCUGAGAGGGUGACCGGCCACAUUGGGACUGAGAUACGGCCCAGACUCCUACGGGAGGCAGCAGUGGGGAAUAUUGCACAAUGGGCGGAAGCCUGAUGCAGCAACGCCGCGUGCGGGAUGACGGCCUUCGGGUUGUAAACCGCUUUCGCCUGUGACGAAGCGUGAGUGACGGUAAUGGGUAAAGAAGCACCGGCUAACUACGUG